UACAGAGGGUGCAAGCGUUGUUCGGAAUUAUUGGGCGUAAAGGGCGCGUAGGCGGCCCAGUGUGUCGGGUGUGAAAGCCCACCUCUUAAAGGUGGAAUUGCAUUCGAAACUACCGGGCUGGAGUGUCGGAGAGGAUGGCGGAAUUCCUGGUGUAGCGGUGAAAUGCGCAGAUAUCAGGAGGAACACCGGUGGCGAAGGCGGGUCUCUGGGCCGUAACUGACGCUGAGGAGCGAAAGCAUGGGGAGCGAACAGG
rnacentral:rRNA from 1 species